AACUGUCUUCUCUGUCAUGCCUAGUAUUUGUUAUAUAUUACCUCCACUGUCUUCUUGAUGUCAUGUUUGGAGUUAAAAUUGUAAAUGAUAAUCCCAAAGACAGCUACAGAGCUUCUGAAAAAUCUUUAAAGCACAUAAUGAAUUGGUCCCUUUGAUGAAAUUUUAUAGAACAAUCUGAAAAGCCUAAAACAUAAUUACACUUAAUAAUUAUGAAGCUGAAAACUUUCAAAUAAAUUGGACUGACAAAACUAAUGAAGACAAUGCUAAUUCACACCACAGUCUUUGAAUGUCCAAAGGCCCAUCAUUGA
rnacentral:misc_RNA from 1 species